CUACCCCUCAAGCGCGGCUUGUGUGUUGGGUGCGGUCCCCCCGGGGACCUGCCCGAAAGGCAGCGGCGACGUCCGUCUGGUCCUCGAGCGUAUGGGGCUUUGUCACUCGCUCGGGACGGACCUGCGGGGGUUGGUCACCACCAUAUUUUACCAC
rnacentral:misc_RNA from 1 species